rnacentral:lncRNA from 1 species
AAUAAUAAUAAUAAUAAAAAAGUUAGAUAGGCAGAAGGCAGAAAAACUGGUUUACCCAUCAGCUGUGGAGAUGCAGUAGGACCUGGAGGACUGAGCAAAGAGGCAAACACUGUUUUUCUCUUUCAGUCAUUCUCACUUCUCUUAGAGAAUAUUCUGGAUUUGCCCAUGACUCAGAGGAUGACAUCAGAAAUGACACAUAACCCAUCUGCCCUCACUGAAUGGCAGUAAGAUGUCUCUGCCUCAGGGAGAUGUUGUGAAGAUAGAUUUGUUUUCCUGUAAUUUGACUGUCUGAAAUAAUUUGACUGUAUAAAUGCUAACGAUGCUGAUCUGGAGCAAUCUUCCCACCAUUUCUCGUAAUUUCUGGUGUGUAAAACAGACUGCCUUCCUCAGCUGGAAAUUCCUGUGGGGAGUUUACUGAGAAGUGAAGAGCUCAUUCUCUGCAAGUGGAGUCCCACUGUGCAUCCUGGUGUGUUCAAUUAUGAUUUUUUAGACUGUAUGUUCUCUUUAAUGUGCAUGUGUGCCACUAGGUAGAGCAAGGUAAGGACAGAACAUAGACAUGGGAGAGAGACUUUACUACCUUAUUUCUUGGCAUUUUGAAGUGAUAAUACAAGAAGAUGAUCAGCUGCUUUGGUAGAAAGGAAUAAAUUUACUUCAUUUGUUAAGUUGAUGGAUGAAGGGAUGAUAAAGUUACUCUUGUUUAAAUUCUUUAUAUAGUGGCAUGAUUGAAAGACUAAGGCAGAUGGCAAUUUUGCAAUUGCAACUAUAUAUUUUUCAGCAAAAAAAAAAAAAAAAGAAAAAAAAGUUUUCUAAUUUUCUAACCACUGUUUUUAAGAUGUAUGUAUUACGAAGAAAAACAUUUCACUUAAAGAAACACCAAAAAACAGCAAACCAUGUCAAACUGAUAAUUGAAAAACUAAUGAAUCUUUGUUACUUGUAGGCAUUUUCUCCUGAAAGUCACAUUCCCAUCUUAACUCUCUCUCCCAGGAAGAACUAUGACCAGGAGCUCUUGUGAUGUAACUGCCUUCAUUUGUCACAAUGGGAGAUUGGUAACCAACACUGGAAACGUAUUCUGCAGAAGGAGUACAUUUAUGGAGAAGAAUAUGAACCUGUGGAAGAUGCUUCCCCAGAACCAUGAUAAAGCGGAGUCUCGGAAAGCUGGGUUUGGUCUCAGGAGCAGGAGAAACUACAUGGAAGCCAAAGAAGAAUCAGCAAACAAGAACAGUGAUUUCACCCUGUGUUCUACCCAAUUGAAAGAGAAGCGGUUGCACUUCUGAAAAUCUUGUGCAGUGAUCUCACUUUACUGUAAAUAGAAAAAUGAGGGCUGGAGAUUGACAGAAGAGGUUUCACAGUCAGAGUUCUUCAAAAAUCCCUGGUUACUUCUAUCAGAAGAUUUGAGGAAUAUAAAAUUAGACAAGCUUUUUUUAAACUUGGGAGUAAUUUGAGUUUUUUUUUGUUUUUUUUGUUUUUUUUUUCA